CUAGUAAUCGUAGAUCAGAAUGCUACGGUGAAUACGUUCCCGGGCCUUGUACACACCGCCCGUCACACCAUGGGAGUGGGUUGCAAAAGAAGUAGGUAGCUUAACCUUCGGGAGGGCGCUUACCACUUUGUGAUUCAUGACUGGGGUGAAGUCGUAACAAGGUAACCG
rnacentral:rRNA from 1 species